rnacentral:rRNA from 1 species
CUACGGGAUGCUCCAGUGAGGAAUAUUGCACAAUGGAGGAAACUCUGAUGCAGCAACGCCGCGUGGAGGAUGACGCAUUUCGGUGUGUAAACUCCCUUUAUAUGUCAAGAAAAUGACGGUAGCAUAUGAAUAAGCUCCGGCUAACUCCGUGCCAGCAGCCGCGGUAAUACGGAGGGUGCAAGCGUUACUCGGAAUCACUGGGCGUAAAGGACGCGUAGGCGGGUUGGAAAGUCAGGUGUGAAAUCCUACAGCUUAACUGUAGAACUGCACUUGAAACUUCUAAUCUAGAGUAUGGGAGGGGGAGAUGGAAUUAGUGGUGUAGGGGUAAAAUCCGUAGAUAUCACUAGGAAUACCUAAAGCGAAGGCGAUCUCCUGGAACAUUACUGACGCUAAGGCGUGAAAGCGUGGGAGCAAACAGGAUUAGAUACCCCAGUAGUC